rnacentral:lncRNA from 1 species
GCUAGAGGGUUGAAAGCUGACACAAUGAACUGCAGAGAGUAGAGAUUCUAGUUAGAUAUUAAUAUUUAAUUUUAAAAUUUAUUUUAAGAUCUUUUAAAAUAAAUAUGCCUCUCACUAUUUCUUCAAAUCUCUUACACUCCUCAGGUAGAAAAACAAAAAUCCUUCGCGACUAGAGUUUCAAGUAAAUAUUACGAUCCCACCGAUCUAUGUGCACCUCACCUAACAGUUAUUAGUAAUAUACAAAAUCAAUGAGCAAACAACUCUUGUCCAAUACUUCUCAAGCAUGUUAAAGCGAUAUCCAGUCUCUAAGUUAUGUAGACCUUAUCUAAUAGUUAUUGAUCCCAUUCUUUAGUUAAGUCAGAUCCACCA